AUCUUAGGUUUUGGUUUCUUGUAUUCGUCAUAUGGAUUUGGCAUUUGAAUUUCCUUGGUAUUGCUUGGUCGAUUCGAUUCUUUUGGUAUUGUUUCGGUGAUUCGAUUUUCUUGGUAUUUCUUCAGUGAUUCGGUGAUUCGAUUUUCUCGGUAUUUCUUCAGUGAUUCGGUUUUGUUUCGGUGAUUGAUGUGCUUCUUGAUCCUUCUUGAUCAAGUUUUUGUGUAGGGUUAUUAUGUGAUGUUUGGGAUCGAUGAAUGUGCUUUUGUCCAUUGAAGGUCUAUAGAAUUGUUGUUUGUUAGUAUUUGUGAUCAUUCCUUUUCAAGAAGUUCUGAAGUUUAUGACAUCUCUUUUGGCGAUUGAGGAUGUGGUGCUCAAGUUUAGAACGGCUACGGUUUCGGAUAUCUUACUUCUCUACAAUUUCCCUUUCUAUAAUUUAAUUUCUCGAUCACCAAAUAUACGUGUUGAACAGUGAACUAUUUCUCUGCAGCGGUGGUGUUUGGUGUUUGGAUUAUUUUCGUUAAGUGUCGAGCAUCUCAUGGAGCAUUCAUGGAGCAUUUUAUGAGAGAUCAUGUCCCCCUUGGUUUUUAAUUCUUAAAUUGAUCAUUGUUCUAUACUUUGUUUUUAUAUUCUUAAAUUGAUCACCUUCUAUUAUUUCUUGUAUUGUUCUUUCCAGGAUUUCUUGUAUUGUUCUUUCCAGGGAUGUGUGGGAUAGGAUUGUGGCAACAAUGGCACGAGAUUCUUGAACUGUUAUCUUUAGGGUGUGGUUAAAAUGAAAACACUGAUCUUGGAGUCCUUCCUUUCAUUUUAGUAGUGGUGGCCCUAGGGUUAUUCGUGUUCUCUUAUUCUGGAUUUUGUUUUCUCAAAUUUGCUUCUGUUUCCACUUUUUCUUGUACUAGUGUCACAACUUCAUCUCAUAGGGAAGGGAAGCAGUGAAUUUGUUGUUGGUGGUCGAAGCAGUGUAUCUCAAUCGAGUGUUCGUCUUUUCUUUAAUUUCUUAUCUUUACAUCCAAGACAAGCAAUGUAUGUCGAAACUUCGACACGAGAUCUCCUAAAGCUUUAGGUUUUGUCACCCUUACAUUUACUGAUGGCUAUAUUUAUGAUGAAGGAUACCUAUUUGAAUUUGAAUGUAGUUCUUUAUUUGAUUUCUUCUAGGUGUUGAACUGUUUGUGUCCAUUCCUCUUUAGCAUAUCCAGACUCUACGUUCGGUUGAGGAUUAAAAAUCUCGUCUUGAUUGGGCAACGAUUCAGGAUAACCUGAUUUAUUUUUAUUUACUUCUAUUUGAUUUCUUGUGAUUUGAUCACCAAACAUGAUCACUCAAUUGUCAUUCGCUUCUUUGCAGCGGUGUUUGGAGCAUGUUUCAAGAUUAUCUCAUCGAGCAUGUUGAGGAUGAUAUCUCCUCGUGAUGGUGUUUCCUUUUAUUGAUCAACUAACAUUAGGAUUAAUUUGUUAUCUGGAGAAUAAGUCUGGUACUUUUUUAUAUGGCCUCUAUUAGUAUUUUCGACUUUAAUUUGAUAUCUUUUUUCUUAACAAUCCUUUUGGAAUAGAUAUGAAGUUGGAGAUUAAACUAGAAAUGGCGUCUGCUUCUACUAUUGUUUAACUGCCCAAGAUAACCUAAUUUCUUUCCUCUACUUAUAUUUAACUUCUCUGCAGUUGAUCACCGAACAUUUAGAUUGAGUUGUGAUUUGUUUCCCUGCAGUUGGUUUGUGUAAUGACCAGUAUGUCAAUCGAGCCUUCAACUUUUACAAGCAAUCGAUAUUCUGAAGUUUUGUCACCCUUACGUAUUUUGAUAUGUUUAUUCUUACAUAUUCUGUUGUGUUUAUUUUGAUGGAUAUCUGUUUGAAUGUGGUUUUGAUUGAAGAUCUCGUGAAUUAGUAGGGAAUUCAUUUACGCCAAUUCUGAAUAUGAUUCUUUAUUUGAUGGUGGCGAGUUUUGAACCUUUUCCGUAAAUUCCUUUUCAACUUUUCAGCUGCAUGCUGGUUUUCUGAAAUUCUUUUUGCCCAUUGAUGAAAUGAAAAUCAUAAUGGUUCAGGACGGCAAACGACUCAGCAUACUCAGCAUAGCUCAGUACCUAAUUUCUUCUUCCGAGUCUCCUUUCUAUUAUUUAAUUUAUCAUGUAUUGAUAACCGAACAUGAGAAUUGAACAAUGAUUUGUUUAUCUGCAGUGGUGAUUGGAUAGUUGUGCGCAUUGCAUCUAUCCUUGUUAUGAGUUUAUGUAUUGGUUUUGAAUUAUUGAAUUUGUGAAGUCGUCACGUUUCUAUACUUCCUUUUAUUAAGAGUGGUAAUCGUCUUCUUAAAAUUUUUGGCUGUACAGGGAUGACAGGCAAGGGAUGUGUGGUGUAGGAGAUCGUGUGAAGUAUUAGGUUUUCAUACCUUUGCAUUUUCUUAUUCGUUUAUUUUUGACAUCCUGUUUGAUGCCUGAUGCCUAUAAAAUUGGUGUUUAUUGGCAUUUGUAUUCAUUCCUUUUCAGCAAAUCCUGGAGUAAAUAAAAUCUCUUUUGGCGGUUGAGGAUUUAGUGGUCAAGUUUAGAGUGGCUACGUGUUUGGUGUUUUGAUUAUUUUCGUUUGGUGUCGAGCACAAUGGAGCGUAGCCAUGUUAUGGGUGAUUGAUGAAGGAAAUAUAUUUGAAUUUAAAUGUAGUUCUUUAUUUAAUUUCUUUAAUUCCUAAAUUGAUCUUUUGCUAUUGUUGUGUACUUCGUUUUUAUUUUCGUAAAUCUAUUCCUUUCUAUUACUAGUUAUAUACUUCUUGUAUUGUUCUGUACAGAGUUGUGUGGGAUAGGAUUGGGGCAACAAUGGCACGAGAUUCCUCGACUGUUAUCUUUAGGGUGCGGCUAAGUUGAGAAGACCGAUCUUGGAGUCAUUCCUUUCAUUUUAGUAUUGGUGGGCCUAGGAUUAUUUUUACUGUUUAUCAAUCUGAUUUUUUUUUUUUCUGAAAUUUGCUUUUUGUUUCCUCUUAUUGUUUGUUAUGUAUUAGUGUUUGCACUUCAUCUCACAGAGAAGAAGAGAAGCAAUGAAUUUGUUGUUGGUGGUGGAAACCUCAGCACGAGAUCCUUGAAAGCUUUAGGUUUUUUCACCCUUACAUUCCCUGAUGUGUUUAUUUAAGAUGAAGAAUAUCUAUUUGAAUUUGAAUGUAGUUCUUUAUUUGAUUUCUUCUUGGUGUUGAACUGUUUGUGUUCGUUCGUUUUUAGCACCUCGCCAGAGUUCGGAUGUGGUUAAAAAUCCCAUUUUGAUCGGCUACGGUUUCAUCUAUUUGAAUUUGAAUGUAGUUCUUUAUUUGAUUUCUUCUUGGUGUUGAACUUUUUGUGUUUGUUCCUUUUUGGCACCUCGCCAGAGUUCGGAUGAGGUUAAAAAUCUCAUUUUGAUCGGCUACGGUUUAGGAUUACUUCUCUACGGUUUUCGUCACUAUAAUUCAAUUUCUAUUGACUUGAUCACCAGAUAUACGUGGUGAACUGUGAAUUUUUUCCUGCAGUGGUGUCUGGUGUUUGGAUUGUAGAGCAUCUCAUGGAGCAUGUUAUGGGCGAUCAUGUCCCACUGGUUUUUUAAUUCCUAUAUUGAUCUUUUGUGUACUUCGUUUUUAUAGUCUUAAAUCUAUUACCUUCUAUUACUAGUUAUAUACUUCUUGUAUUGUUCUUUACAGAGAUGUGUGGGAUAGGAUUGGGGCAACAAUGGCACGAGAUUCCUCGAACAUUUGUCUUUAGGGUGUGGCUAAGUUGAAAAGACAGAUCUUGGAGUCAUUCCUUUCAUUUUAGUAUUGGUGGGCCUAGGAUUAUUUGUACUGUUUAUUAAUCUGAAUUUUCUAUUCUGAAAUUUGCUUUUUGUUUCCUCUUAUUAUCGGUUAUGUAUUAGUGUUAGCACUUCAUCUCACAGAGAAGAAGAGAAGGAAUGAAUUUGUUGUUUUUGGUGGAAACCUCAGCACGAGAUCCUCUAAAGCUUUAGGUUUUGUCACCCUUACAUUUCCUGAUGUGUUUAUUUAAGAUGAAGGAUAUCUAUUUGAAUUUGAAUGUAGUUCUUUAUUUGAUUUCUUCUUGGUGUUGAACUGUUUGUUUAUGUUCCUUUUUAGCACCUCGCUAGAGUUCGGAUGAGGUUAAAAGUCCCAUUUUGAUCGGCUACGGUUUAGGAUAUCGUUACUUCUCUACGGUUUUCCUUACUAUAAUUUAAUUUCUAUUGACUUGAUCACGUGAUAUACGUGUUGAAUUGUGAAUUGUUUCCCUGCAGUGGUAUCUGGUGUUUGGAUUGUAGAGCAUCUCAUGGAGCAUGUUAUGGGCGAUCAUGUCCCAUGGGUUUUUAUUUCCUAAAUUGAUCUUUUGUUUUUGUUGUGUACUUCGUUUUUAUAGUCUUAAAUCUAUUGCCUUCUAUCACUAGUGAUAUGCUUCUUGUAUUGUUCUUUACAGAGAUGUGUGGGAUAGGAUUAGGGCAACAAUGGCACGAGAUUCCUCGAACUGUUAUCUUUAGGGUGUGGCUAAGUUGAAAUGACAGAACUUGGAGUCAUUCCUUUCAUUUUAGUAGUGGUGGGCCUAGGAUUAUUUGUACUGUUUAUUAAUCUGAAUUUUCUUUUCUGAAAUUUGCUUUUUGUUUCCUCUUAUUGUCGGUUAUGUAUUAGUGUUAGCACUUCAUCUCACAGAAGAAGAGAAGCAAUGAAUUUGUUGUUGGUGGCGGAAACCUCAGCACGAGAUCCUCUAAAGCUUUAGGUUUUUUCACCCUUACAUUCCCUGAUGUGUUUAUUUAAGAUGAAUGAUAUCUAUUUGAAUUUGAAUUUAGUUCUUUAUUUGAUUUCUUCUUGGUGUUGAACUGUUUGUGAUUGAUCCUUUUUAGCACCUCGCCAGAGUUCGGAUGAGGUUAAAAGUCCCAUUUUGAUCGGCUACGGUUUAGGAUAUCGUUACUUCUCUACGGUUUUCCUCACUAUAAUUUAAUUUCUAUUGACUUGAUCACCAGAUAUACGUGUUGAAUUGUGAAUUGUUUCCCUGCAGUGGUGUCUGGUGUUUGGAUUCUAGAGCAUCUCAUGGAGCAUGUUAUGGGCGAUCAUUUCCCACUGGGUUUUUAAUUCCUAAUUGAUCUUUUGUUAUUGUUGUGUACUUCGUUUUUAUUGUCUUAAAUCUAUUCCUUUCUAUUACUAGUUAUAUACUUCUUGUAUUGUUCUGUACAGAGUUGUGUGGGAUAGGAUUGGGGCAACAAUGGCACGAGAUUCCUCGAACUGUUAUCUUUAGGGUGUGGCUAAGUUGAGAAGACAGAUCGUGGAGUCAUUCCUUUCAUUUUAGUAUUGUUGGUCCUAGAUUAUUUGUACUGUUUAUUAAUCUGAAUUUUUUUUUUCUGAAAUUUGCUUUUUGUUUCCUCUUAUUGUUUGUUAUGUAUUAGUGUUUGCACUUCAUCUCACAGAGAAGAAGAGAAGCAAUGAAUUUGUUGUUGGUGGUGGAAACCUCAGCACGAGAUCCUUGAAAGCUUUAGGUUUUUUCACCCUUACAUUCCCUGAUGUCUUUAUUUAAAAUGAAGAAUAUCUAUUUGAAUUUGAAUGUAGUUCUUUAUUUGAUUUCUUCUUGGUAUUGAACUGUUUGUGUUUGUUCGUUUUUAGCACCUCGCCAGAGUUCGGAUGAGUUUAAAAGUUCCAUUUUGAUCGGCUACGGUUUAGGAUAUCCUUACUUCUCUAAGGGUUUUCCUUACUAUAAUUUAAUUUCUAUUGACUUGAUCACGUGAUAUACGUGUUGAAUUCUGAAUUGUUUCCCUGCAGUGGUGUCUGGUGUUUGGAUUGUAGAGUAUCUCAUGGAGCAUGUUUUGGGCGAUCAUGUCCCACUGGGUUUUUAAUUCCUAAAUUGAUCUUUUGUUAUUUUUGUGUACUUCGUUUUUAUUGUCUUAAAUCUAUUCCUUUCUGUUACUAGUUAUAUACUUCUUGUAUUGUUCUGUACAGAUUUGUGUGGGAUAGGAUUGGGGCAACAAUGGCACGAGAUUCCUCGAACUGUUAUCUUUAGGUUGUGGCUAAGUUGAAAAGACAGAUCUUGGAGUCAUUCCUUUCAUUUUAGUAGUGGUGGGCCUUGGAUUAUUUGUAUUAUCUAGUAAUCUGAAUUUUCUUUUCUGAAAUUUGCUUUCUGUUUCCACUUAUUGUCGGUUAUGUAUUAUCUAGUAAUCUGAAUUUUCUGUUUGUGUUCCUUCCUUUUUAGCACAUUGAGGUUAAAAAUCCCACUUUUAUCAGACAACGAUUCAAGAUAACGUGAUGUCUUUUUAUUUUCUUAUAUUUGAAUUUUCGGAAUUUGAUCAUCAAACAUGAUCACUUGUCAUUUGUUUCUUUGCAGUUGUCUUUGGAGUAUGUUUCGUGAUUUAUCUCAUUGGGUGUGAAUGAUGUUUCCUUUUGUUGAACAACUAACAUUAAGAUUGUAUUGUUAUCUGGAGAAUAACUUUCGGUACUUUUUUAUAUGGUCUAUAUUUGUAUUUCCGACAAUGUGAUAUCCUUUUGCUUAACUAGAGAGGGCGUCUAACUGUCCUUUUGGAAUAGGAUAUGAAGUUGGAGAUUAAACUAGAAAGGGCGUCUGCUAACUUAAAUUUCUCCCUAGCUAUUAUCACCGUCUUACAGUGUUUGGCUUUACAGAGAGGACAAGCAAUGGAUGUUUGGAGGUCAUGUGAAGUAUUAGGUCUUGUUACCCUUACAUUUCUUUAUUCUUUCGUGAUUGGCUGUUUGAUGUCUUAUGCACUUAUCAAAGUCGUGUAUGCUGGUAUUUGUGUUCAUUCCUUUUCAGCAAGUCCCGGAGUCUAUGAGAUGUUUUUUGGUAAUUGAGGAUUUUGAGCUCAAGUUUGAAACGGCUGCGGUUUGGGAUACCCUGCCUUCUCGAUGAGUUUCCUUUCUUUUAUUUAAUUUUUCUUUCUCUUGACUUGAUCGCCUAACAUAUGGGUUGAAUUUUUAAUUGUUUCGAUGCAGUGGGUAUUUUCGUUUACUGUUGUGCUUUUCAUGGAGUUUGUUAUGAGUAUGUUGUGAGCGAUAGUGUUCUUAGUUCUUCUCUACUCUUUCGGGGAUUGGGGAUUUGGAGCUUGGGCUUAGAACGACAGUGGUUUAAGAUAUUCUCUGCCUUCUCGAUGAGUUUCCUUUCUAUUAUUUAAUUUCUCUUUUCUUGAUUGAAUUUUGAAUUAUUGUUCUGUUUCCUUAUUAUUUCCAUAUCAGGAGUGGUUUCAAUCUUGUGUAGUUGGAGUGAUUUGAGACAACAAACUUGUUCUGUGAUUCUGAUUUUAAUAUGAUAUCCUUUUAAUCCUUUUGGAAUAUGAUAUGUUGAGCAUAACGAUCUAUAUGAAGUUGGAGAUUAAACAUGAAAGGAAAUUGUUGGAGAUAACAUAAUUUCUUUGAAGUGUUUCCUCUACUUUUAUUUAACUUAUUCGAUUCGAGCCUUCAUCUUUUCUUUAAUUCUUCUUCUUGGUCUUUACAUCCAAGACAGGCAAUGAAUGUGGAAACUUUUGCACGCGAUCCCCUCUGAAGCUUUAGGUUUUGUGACAAUUGUUUCUUAUGCGUUUAUAUGACGGAUAUCUAUUUGAAUUUGAAUGUAGUUCUUUAUUUGAUUUAUUUGAUUUCUUCUAGGUGUGGAACUGCUUGUGUUCUUUCCGUUUUGCACGUGAGACUUGAGAUUGUUUGAGGAUUAAAACCAUGUUUUGAUCGGUCAAUGAUUCAGGAUAGUCUGAUUUCUUCUUAGUUCCCUCUUGAUUUCUUGAGAUUUGAUCAGCAAAUAUAGAUACUUAAUUUUCAUUGUUUUUUUUUUCAGCUGUGUUCGCAGUAUGUUUCAUCAUUUAUCUCAUCGAUCUUGUUAAGGGGUGAUUUGUUUUGAGUUGUCUUGAUGUCUAUACUUUUUCUUUUUAUUGGUGAAAGCUAUCAAAUCUAGCUGUUUGAUCUGUUGUGAUUAUGUUCAUUCCUUUUCAGCACAUUAACUGUUGAGGAUACGAAAAUAAUACAAUGCUCAUGAAGCAUGUUAUGGGCGAUCAUGUCACCCUUGGUUUUUAGUUCCUAAAUUGAUGAUUGUUCUAUACUUUGUUUUUGUAUUCUUAAAUUUAUCACCUUCUACUACCAGUUAUAUAUUUUUUGUAUUGUUCUUUACAGAUAUGUGUGGGAUAGGAUUGUGGCAACAGCGGCACAGGGUUCUUGAACUGUUAUCUUUUGGGUGCGGUUAAAUUGAAAAGGCAGAUCUUGGAGUCCUUCAUUUCAUUUUAGUAGUGGUGGGCCUAGGAUAAUUUGUGUUCUAUUUUAGGUGUUGAACUGUUUGUGUUCAUUCCUUUUUAACACAUCGAGACUCUAAGUUCGGUUGAGGAUUAAAAAUCCCAUUUUGAUCAGACAACAAUUCAUGAUAAACUGAUUUGUUUUUAUUUCCUUGUAUUUGAUUUCUUGCCAUUUUGAUCAGACAACAUUGCAGACAACAAUUGUCAUUUUCUUCUUUGCACGGUGUUUGGAGUAUGUUUCAUGAUUUAUCUUAUCAGAAUAGGAUGUGAAAACUAGAAAGGGCGGCUGGUUAUAACUUAAAUUUCUCCCUAGUGUUUCCUCUACUAUUAUUUAACUGCCCAAGAUAACCUAAUUUUUGUCCUUAUAUUUAACUUCUCUUCACUUGAUCACCGAACAUUUAGAUUGAGUUUUGAUUUGUUUUCCUGCAGCUUGUUUGGCUAAUGACCUGUAUGUCAAUCGAGCCUUCAACUUUUCUUAAGUUUUUGGUCUUUACAUCCAAAACAAGCAUUGGACGUUGGUACUUUAGUACUAGAUCCUCUGAAGUUUAGGUUCUGUCAUCCUUGCAUAUUCUGAUGUGGUUAUUUAUAAUGAUGGAUAUCUGUUUCAAUUUGGUUUUGUCGGAGUGAAGAUCUCUAGAAUUAGUGAAAAUUCAUUUAUUUGAUGGUGUUUAAAUGAUUUAUUUUCCGUAAAUUCUUUUUCACCUUUUUAGCUGCUUGCCUGGGUCUCAGAAUUUUUUUUUUCCCAGUGAUGAAAUGAACAUCGAAAUGAACAUCAUAAUUGUUCAGAACGGCCAACGACUCAACAUAAAUUAGUAGCUAGUUUCUUCAGGUUUCCUUUCUAUUAUUUAAUUUCUCUGGUAUUGAUAUGCAAACAUGAGAAUUGAACUGUGAUUUGUUUAUGUGCAGUGGUGAUUAGAUUAAUUGUGGGCAUUGCAUCGAGCCCUGUUAUGACUUUAUUCAUUGGUUUUGAAUUAUUGAAUUUGUAAAGUCAUCACCUUUCUAUACUUUCCUCUUAUUAAGAGUGGUUAUCGACUUCGUAAAGUUUUUGGCUGUACAGGGAUGACAAGCAAGGGGUGUGUGGUGUAGGAGGUCGCGUGAAGUAUUAGGUUUUGUUACCUUACAUUUUUCUUAUUCGUUUACUUGUGACUUGCUGUAUGAUGUCUAUUUCGGCUCACAAUAACUUGGUUCCUAAUUUCUUCGAGUUUCCUUUCUAUUAUUUAAUUUCUCUGGUAUUGAUAACCGAACAUGAGUGAUUUGUUUAUCUGCAGUGGUGAUUGGAUUAAUUGUGGGCAAUGCAUCGAGCCCUGUUAUGAGUUUAAUCCAUUGGUUUUGAAUUAUUGAAUUUUGGAAAGUCAUCAUCGUCCUAUACUUUCCUCUUAUCAAGAGUGGUUAUCGACUUCUUAGGAGGUCGUGUGAAGUGUAGGUUGUUAACUUUACAUUUUUUUUAUUCAUUUAUUCGUGAUUGGCUGUUUGUUGUUUACCUUUUCAUUCCUUUUCAGCAAAUCUUGGAGUCUAUGACAUUUCUUUUGGCGGUUGAGGAUUUAGUGGUUUAGGAUAUCCUGACAUCUCUACGGUUUUCCUUUCUAUAAUUUAAUUUCUCUUGACUUGAUCACCAAAUAUACGUGUUGAAUUGUGAAUUGUUUCUCUGCAGUGGUGCCUGGUGUUUGAAUUAUUUUCGUUUAGUGUCGAGCAUCUCGUGGAACAUGUUAAGGGCGAUCAUGUUAUUGGUGCCUGGUGUUUGAAUUAUUUUCGUUUAGUGGUGCCUGGUUUUUUAAUUCAUAAAUUGAUCUAUUGUUAUUGUUCUAUACUUCGUUUUUAUAAUCUUAAAUGUAUCCCCUUUCUAUUACCAGUUAUAGACUUCUUUUAAUGUUCUUUACAGAGAUGUGUGGGAUAGGAUUGUGGCAACAAUGGCACGAGAUUCCUCGAACUGUUAUAUUUAGGGUGUGGCUAAGUUGAAAAGACAAAUCUUGGAGUCAUUCCUUUAAUUUUCGUCGUGGUGGGCCUAGGAUUAUUUGUAUUCUCUUUUAAUCUGGAUUUUGUUUUCUCAAAUUUGCUUUCUGUUUCCACUUAUUGUCGGUCUUGUAUUAUUCUCACUACAUCUCACAGAGAAGAGAAGCAGUGAAUUGUUGUUUGUGGGGGAAACUUCAGCACGAGAUCCUCUAAGGUUGAGGUUAAAAACCCCAUUUUGUUGAUUGACAACGAUCUAGGAUAACCCAAUUUCUUUUCAUUUUCUUAUAUUUUUUAUUUCUUGGUAUUUGAUCAGCAAACAUGAUUACUCAAUUUUCAUUUGUUUCGUUGCAGCUGUGUUUGGUGUAUGUUUCAUGAUUUAUCUCAUCGAGCAUGUUGAGGGAUGAUGUGUUUCCUUUUAUUGAUCAACUAACAUUAGGAUCGAAUUGCUGUCUGGCGGUACUUUUAUAUGGUCUAUAUUAAUAUUUUUGGCUAUAAUUUGAUAUCCUUUUUCUUAACUAGGAAGGGCGUCUAACUAUCUUUUUGGAAUAGGAUAUGAAGUUGGAGAUUAAAGUAGAAAGGGCGUCUGCUAACUAUCCUUUUGUUUUUGGCUUUACAGAGAAGACAAACAAUGGAGUUGUGGUUUUGGAGUCAUGCAAUGUAUUAGGCUUUGUUACCCUUACAUUUUCUUAUUUGUUUUUGUCACUGGUUUUGAUGUCGGAUGCCUAUCAAAGUCGUGUAUGCUGGUAUUUGUAUUCAUUCAUUUUCAGCAAGUCCUGGAGUUUGAGAUGUUUUUUUGGCGAUUGAGGAUUUAGAGCUCAAGUUUGAAACGACUGCGGUUUACGAUAUCCUGCCUUCUCGAUGAGUUUCUUUUUGUCAUUUAAUUUUUCUUGACUUGAUCAUUCUAUUGUUCUAUUAUUUCCCUUGACUUGAUCGCCAAACAUAUUACUGUUUGUUAUGGAGUUUGUUAUGAGCAUUGAGCGAUUUACCCAUGGUUGUAAAAUUUUUAAAUUUGUCUAUUGUUCAAUACUUGAUUUUUAAUUCUUAAAUUUAUCGUCUUGUCUUGUACUACCAGUCAUAGCUGUCUGGAAUUCUUGUUCUUUACAGAGAUGUGUGGGGUGGGAUUGUGGAAACAGAGGCAGUAGAUUCCUUGGACUGCGAAGUUUAGUACGACUAUGGCUUAGGAUAUGAGUUUCCUUUCUAUUAUUUAAUUUCUCAAGUUGUUCUGUGAUAUGGAGCCACUUCUUGGUAUUUUUUUAUAUCAUCUAUACAAGUAUUUCCGAUUUUAAUAUGAUAUCCUUUUGGAAUAGGAUAUGUUUGAGCAUAACGAUCUACAUGAAGUUGGAGAUUAAACAUGAAAGGCAAUUGAAGAUAACAUAAUUUCUUUGAAGUGUUUCCUCUAUUUUUAUUUAACUUCGACAACCAAUGGAUGUGGAAACUUUAGCACGAGAUCCCCUCCGAAGCUAUAGAUUUUGUUAUUUCUUUUAUUUAUAAUGAUGGAUAUCUAUUUGAAUUUGAUUGUAGUUCUUUAUUUGGUUUAUUGUAUUUCUUCUAGGUGUUGAACUGUUUGUUCUUUCCUUCUAGCACGUCCAGACUUUUGAGAUUGAGAUUGUUUGGGGAUUACAAUCAUGUUUUGAUCGGUCAAUGAUUCAGGAUAACUUGAUUUCUUUUUAGUUCCGUCUUUUGAUUUCUUGGGAUUUUAUCAGAAAAUAUGGAUACUUAAUUUGCCAUUUUUUUUUUGCAGUGGUGUUUGGAGCAUGUUUCAUCAUUUAUUUCAUUGAUCGUGUUAAGGGGUGAUGUUUUUUUUUUUAGUUUUGUAUAGUUUUUCUAUACUUUUUCUUUUGGUUUGUGAAAACUAUUAAAUCUAGCUGUUUGAUCUGUUAUUAUGUUCAUUCCUUUACAUUUUGUUAUACAUUUAUUUGUGACUCUAGCUGUUUGAUGUACUGUCAAAUUGUUGUUUGUUGGUAUUUGUGUUUACACCUUUUCAGCAAGUCCUGGAGUCUGAGAUCUCUUUUGGUGGUUGAAGAUUUAUAGCUCAAGCUUAUAGCAGUUGGGGUAUCCUGGCUUGUCGAUGAGUUUCCUUUCUAUUAUUUGAUUUUUCUUAACUUGAAUUGUUAAUUGUGAAUUGUUUCUCUGCAGCAGUGUUUGGUGUUUGGAUUAUUUUGGUUUAGUAUUGUGCAUCUCUUUGAGGUUGUUAUGAGCGCUCUCUUGGACCAUGUUAUCAGCUUUUUCCCUUAGUUUUUAAUUCCUAAAUUGAUCUAUUGUUUGUCUUUCGUUUUUAUAUUCUUAAAUAUCAGUUAUAGAUUUCUUCUAUUGUUAUUUAUAGAGGUGUGUGUAGGGUUGCAGUAAGGGUGGCAGAAGAUUCCUCGGUUUAGUUCUUCUUUUACUCUUAAAUUAUUUUUUUUUUCUUUUUCAUUAAUUUGUGUUUGGCUGAACUUGCUAGUUUGAUUUUUAUUUUCUUAGGCAUUAACAAAUUUAUGCUGGAGCGGUCUUAGCAGGCGAUCAUGACCACUGGAUUGAUUUGUGGUCUUUUGUCACUAUGGUUUGUGGCUAAAUUUUUACUGGAGUCAUUCUUUUCAUUUUAGUAGUGCUAAUUAGCAAUUUGAAUUCUAUUGGAAACUGUAUUUUGUUUUCUCAAAUUUGCUUUUUCCACUCUUCGCCGGUCUUGUAUUUAUUCGCCUUUAUUUACUAUUGCUUUAGGUUUGCAACCCUUACAUUUUUUUUAUCCCUUUAUUUUUAAUGACAAACAUUUAUUUGCAUUUAAAUGUAGUUCAUUAUUUGAUUUGAUUUGGGUGUUGAACUGUUUGUGUUCAUUCUUUUUUAGCACGUCCAGACUAUCUCAUCGACUGUUUUCAUGGAUAAGGUCUUGUGAUGGUGUUUUUUUGUUCUGUUCUUAUUGUUUCUAUACUGUCUUUGUGAAAUCUUUCAAAUCUAGCUGUUAGACUUUGUACCGCCAAAUACAUGGAACUUAUAUCACAUUUGAUGUGUUAAAA